UACAGAGGGGGCAAGCGUUGUUCGGAAUUACUGGGCGUAAAGGGCGCGUAGGCGGCCUCUUAAGUCGAACGUGAAAUCCCCGGGCUCAACCCGGGAACUGCGUCCGAUACUGGGAGGCUUGAAUCCGGGAGAGGGAUGUGGAAUUCCAGGUGUAGCGGUGAAAUGCGUAGAUAUCUGGAGGAACACCGGUGGCGAAGGCGGCAUCCUGGACCGGUAUUGACGCUGAGGCGAGAAAGCUAGGGGAGCAAACGGG
rnacentral:rRNA from 1 species